rnacentral:rRNA from 1 species
GACGAACGCUGGCGGCGUGCCUAACACAUGCAAGUGGAGCGACGAACCGGGCUUCGGCCCGGGGCAAAGCCGCGAACGGGUGAGUAACACGUGGGUAACCUGCCCUGAUGAUUGGGACAACCCGAGGAAACUCGGGCUAAUACCAAAUGUGCCCUCCGGCCUCAAGGCCGCUGGGGAAAGGAAGCUUCGGCCUCCGCAUCGGGAUGGGCCCGCGGCCCAUUAGCUUGUUGGUGAGGUAACGGCUCACCAAGGCGACGAUGGGUAGCUGGUCUGAGAGGACGAUCAGCCACACUGGGACUGAGACACGGCCCAGACUCCUACGGGAGGCAGCAGUGGGGAAUCUUGCGCAAUGCGCGAAAGCGUGACGCAGCAACGCCGCGUGGGGAAGAAGGCCU